CACGGAGGCCCCGAGCGUUGUUCGGAUUUACUGGGCGUAAAGCGUGUGUAGGCGGUGAAGUAAGUCAGAUGUGAAAUCCCGAGGCUCAACCUUGGAACUGCAUCCGAUACUGCUUUACUGGAGGUUUGGAGAGGAGUCUGGAAUUCACGGUGUAGCAGUGAAAUGCGUGGAUAUCGUGAGGAAGGCCAAAGGCGAAGGCAGGACUCUGGACAACACCUGACGCUGAGACACGAAGGCCAGGGUAGCGAAAAGG
rnacentral:rRNA from 1 species